GUUUAUUAACCAAUAACCAUCACUAAGGGUAAGGCCACGAACAGCUGGCCUCAGCCCUGCCAGAGCAAAUGGGAAGUCUCCUCAAGUGCUAUAAGCCCCUCACCUCUUUCCGCUUCUCUCCGCCACCGCACUCUCUGCUACGUUCAAUUCAAUUCCGAACUCAUUUUUCUCGCACCUUCUCCGUCUCCAGGAAGCGAACUUUAUGUCGCCUUGUCAGCUCAUAUCGGCCCUUAAUCAACGACAAAGUUAAUGCUGGUGAUGGAGCGGUCACCCCAUCAUUAUCAUCGGCGGAGCUGUGGCUUUACAAUACAAUGAGCAGAAAGAAGGAGCUUUUUAAGCCCAAAGUGGAUGGAAAAGUUGGGAUGUACGUUUGUGGUGUUACCGCUUACGAUCUUAGCCAUAUUGGCCACGCUCGCGUCUACGUCACUUUCGAUGUUCUCUACAGAUAUCUUAGGCAUUUGGGAUUCGAAGUGUGCUAUGUUCGAAAUUUCACUGAUGUUGAUGAUAAGAUAAUUGCCCGAGCCAAUGAAUUGGGAGAGGAUCCAAUCAGUUUGAGCAGACGUUACUGUGAAGAAUUCCAUCAUGAUAUGGUGUAUCUUCACUGCCUGCACCCUUCUGUUGAGCCACGUGUGUCAGAUCACAUGCCCCAAAUAAUUGAAAUGAUCAAGCAGAUUCUUGAUAAUGAGUGUGCCUACAGAAUUGAUGGCGAUGUUUACUUCUCGGUAGACAAAUUUCCUGAAUAUGGACAAUUAUCUGGGCGAAAAUUAGAAGAUAAUAGAGCAGGUGAGCGAGUGGCUGUGGACUCAAGGAAGAAAAAUCCUGCUGAUUUUGCAUUGUGGAAGUCUGCAAAGGAAGGUGAACCUUUUUGGGAGAGUCCAUGGGGGCCUGGAAGACCUGGAUGGCAUAUUGAGUGCAGUGCCAUGAGUGCUGCUUAUCUUGGUCACUCUUUUGACAUUCAUGGUGGGGGAAUGGACCUUGUGUUUCCCCACCAUGAAAAUGAGAUUGCCCAGAGUUGUGCUGCAUGCAGAGAUAGUAGUAUAAGCUACUGGAUACAUAAUGGCUUUGUCACGGUUGACUCUGAGAAAAUGUCCAAAUCACUUGGAAACUUUUUUACAAUUAGGCAGGUUAUAGAUCUUUAUCAUCCACUGGCUUUGAGACUUUUCUUGUUGGGGACCCACUAUCGAUCUCCAAUCAACUACUCUAAUGUACAGCUUGAGAGUGCUUCAGAACGUAUUUUUUACAUAUAUCAGACAUUACAUGAUUGUGAAACUGUCAUCAGCCAGCAUGACGUGGCAUUUGAGAAGGAUUCUGUCCCACCUGAUAUUUUAGAUGGCAUUAAUAGGUUCCAUAGUGUGUUUGUUGCCUCCAUGUCAGAUGAUCUUCACACCCCUGUUUUGUUGGCAGCAUUGUCUGAUCCACUAAAAAUAAUCAAUGAUAUGAUACAUACCAGAAAGGGAAAGAAACAGGCAAAGCGAAUUGAAUCACUUGCUGCUCUAGAAAAGAUAGUCAAGAAUGCUCUGUGUGUCUUGGGGUUGAUGCCCACAACAUAUUCUGAGGUUCUGCAGCAAAUGAGGGAAAAGUCACUGAGGCGUGCAAAGUUAACAGAAGACCAAGUAUUGCAAAAAAUUGAAGAAAGAAAUGUAGCAAGGAAGAACAGAGACUAUGAAAAAUCAGAUGCCAUUAGGAAGGAUUUGGCUACUCUGGGAAUUGCUCUUAUGGAUGGUCCAGAUGGCACAAGUUGGAGACCAGCUAUUCCUCUUGCACUGCAAGAGCAGCAAGUUGCUGCAACUUGAAUGAUUUGCUGGGCUUCUCACUAUGACUUUAUGGCAGGAACUGUUAUAUUAGUAAUCUGAGCAAAUACAAUAGAGAAAGGAGCAACAGUUAUUGGAUUGGAGAGGCCAACUCUUAUCGGAUCCAAGGGAGGAAUCGCUCCAGAUGAAUUUACAGAAUGGAAUAGGUGAGGAAUUUUGAAGAUCAAGCAUUACCUGUAGUAAUCAGGAUUUGGGACAAAGGUGGUGGUGUUGAGGAGGCCGUAGUUUCCACCAAUCAAUGUCUGUCUACAGUAUGUUUUUGUAUCAUAAGAUGAUGCCAUUCCUAGUUGGUCCAAGUACCUAUUUGAUUAGUGUUAAACAAGAUCAAUAAAUGAAGAGAUUUUAAACAAGUAAACAAAAUAUAAGGCAGGAACUUUCUGGACUACAUUACCAGAAACUGAACACAAAUGCAUUUGUGACAAGAUUAUGGCCACUGUUGUAAGCACCUCCUGCCUCUCCAACCCAAGCAACUGCCUGUGUCCCUGAACCCUUCAAAAUUCCUUGAAGGCUGCUAAACGGCUGAGAGCCACCAUCUAGAUAAGAUGGAUCUAAGAUCUUGUCAAUGAGAUGAUCAUCAACACCUAUAUGGAAGAAACACAGAAAAUUAACAUACUUCUCUAGUCAGAAAUUUCAAGUGACUUUUAAGUAAAUUCUGUUGGGAAGAUACUGGGAUUAGACUGCCACAGAACUUGAGCAAGGUACUGUUUGAUGUAUUGCUAUUACAAUUUAUUUACCUGGACCAAGGUUAUAGAUGUGUUGGGUGACUACUUGAAGAGAUUUAGGCGUUUUUUC